GUUGCUAACCGAAAUUUACUCAUCACUAAUUGCUAACAGAACAAAUGAAAUCCACUAACAUGCUAAAAUACAGUCCAAAUAGCUCAUGUAGUCCAAAUAGCUCAUGUAGUCCAACUUAUAUAAAUAAUUUGAAUGAAAUUAAAAUAAAGCAUGAAAUCAGGAUAAAGCGUGAAAUUCAUAAAUCUCUUCAAACAGCACUUCGUUUCAUAUUCAAGAGCCUAAAAAUUACAGCAUAGGUACAUGGAUUAUCAAAAUACAAUAGGAAGAAGGAGUUAGCAGUAGCAAUACAAUGCAGCAGUAUGAAGAAAUCAGCAACAGCAGAAAUAAACAAUCAGCCAGGAAUAAUGUUAAUGAUGCCCAAUAUACGAUUAAACACCAAGUAGAACAGGAAAAAUCAACCACAACAGCUUGUUCAAAGCCAAAUCUAUUGGGAAAAACACCAUACCACUUCAAUGAACCCAAAUCCAACUAAAAUAGCUUGAUUAAGACUAAAACUAUUCGAAAUCAAACCAAGAAACAUCAGUGAAGCUUCAAAAUUAGAAGAGAAGAGAAUUCAGCAAAACUAACUCAGAAAAAUCAAUUUGAUAGUGCUUUUUUUUGUGUGGAUAUUUUCUAUUAUUUUUUGGGGUUUUGGAGUUUGAAUUUCAAAUCCUAAAUCUGAAACUUGAAAACACACUUUGGGGGGAAGUUUUGGGCUCCCAAAAACUUAUUUAAAUUAGUAGAAUUCAAUGCCUUUUAUAGGCAAAAUAAGGGACUAGAGGUUUCUAGAACUUUUCACUCAUUUUCCCCCCAAAAGUAGCCUCCUACCCUUCCCCAAAUAAAAUCUGAAAUUCUUCUUCACUUCCUCACAUGUAACAUCCCCCAAAGACUAUUCCCUCGCUAUUUACCCUGCCGUGAAAAGCGAGUAUGGGCCAAGUGACCCAGUUCGAACGGGCCAAUUGCUUUCAAACCAAAACCCAAAUCCCUGUUUGUUAAUCUGAAUUCCCAACUAAUAGGCCAAAGAGCUCGAAUCAUACUAAAGAAGAAUAGCUAAACUAAACUAAUGCUAAUUAAAGAGGAUCCUAGAACUAAAAUUAUUACUAGACUAAUCAGAACAGUAAACAAAGAAGUUCAAGACAAACAAUUAACAUAAUAGGCGGAAACAACUAAAUUAAAAAAUACAUAAACAACCAGAAAGUGAUGAAUGCAAAAUGAACCAUCUGAUUAUAACAAAAAUCAGAAACCUACAACUAGCGUUUUGAAUUAUGGACGAAGAACACAGAACAAACAAGAAAAAAUAUAGGAAAACUUACUAGUUAGGCUUGAACAUAAUGAACAACUCUGUUUGACCUCGAAAUGACAUAAAUCAUCGAUUCUUGUGAUGAACAGAUGGAACACGUCAUCUCGAAGCGAAACAAGCUGAGGAUUUUUAAGGAUGAUUUUAGUGCGGGUUUUCCGAUUUUAAGCCUAGGACCUGAAGCUUAAAUUGAAACUUGAAAGCCAUUGAGGAGAUUCGGAAGAAACGAGAUAGAUAUUAGGAUGAAGGGAAGGAGGUGGUCGUUGGGUGUUGAUUUGGUGGGGAAAGGUAGUGGCCCCGCCAGGCACGGCGGAGGAACUCAUGGCAGUGCCCUAGGGUUUCACUGAUUUGAGGCUCUUGGGUGGGAUUUGAAGUGUAAAAGAUGGAUAUUCGUGGAUAGGAGGUUGAGAGGAGUAGGUGGUAAAGUUUUGAGUGCCAUUGGAGGUUAACCGCCACCGUGGGGCUAUUUUUGGCGUCGGAACCGGCGGAGGGAGAUGAGUACGAGGAAGAAGGACCGGUAUGUCUCUAAUG
rnacentral:lncRNA from 1 species